AUUGAACGCUGGCGGCAUGCCUUACACAUGCAAGUCGAACGGUAACAGGUCUUCGGAUGCUGACGAGUGGCGAACGGGUGAGCAAUACAUCGGAACGUGCCCGAUCGUGGGGGAUAACGAAGCGAAAGCUUUGCUAAUACCGCAUAAGAUCUACGGAUGAAAGCAGGGGACCGCAAGGCCUUGCGCGAACGGAGCGGCCGAUGGCAGAUUAGGUAGUUGGUGGGAUAAAAGCUUACCAAGCCGACGAUCUGUAGCUGGUCUGAGAGGACGACCAGCCACACUGGGACUGAGACACGGCCCAGACUCCUACGGGAGGCAGCAGUGGGGAAUUUUGGACAAUGGGCGAAAGCCUGAUUCAGCCAUGCCGCGUGCAGGAUGAAGGCCUUCGGGUUGUAAACUGCUUUUGUACGGAACGAAAAGACUCUUUCUAAUAAAGAGGGUCCAUGACGGUACCGUAAGAAUAAGCACCGGCUAACUACGUGCCAGCCGCCGCCGUAAAAC
rnacentral:rRNA from 1 species